UGAGUUCGAUGGAUUAGACCCGAAACCAGGUGAUCUUGGCAUGAGCAGGUUGAAGGUGCGGUAACACGCACUGGAGGACCGAACCCACCGUCGUUGAAAAGCCGGGGGAUGACUUGUGCCAAGGGGUGAAAGGCCAAUCAAACCUGGAGAUAGCUGGUUCUCCGCGAAAUCUAUUUAGGUAGAGCGUUAGAUGAAUACCAUUGGGGGUAGAGCACUGGAUCGGGACGGGGGACGCGAGUCUUACCAACUCGAACCAAACUCCGAAUACCAAUGAGUACUAUCUAGCAGACACACUACGGGUGCUAAGGUCCGUAGUGGAAAGGGAAACAGCCCAGACCACCAGCUAAGGUCCCUAAAUCACGUGCUAAGUGGGAAAGGAUGUGGGAAGGCCAAAACAACCAGGAGGUUGGCUUAGAAGCAGCCAUCCUUUAAAGAUAGCGUAACAGCUCACUGGUCUAAAUAAGACGUCCUGCGGCGAAGAUGUAACGGGGCUCAAGCCAUGAGCCGAAGCCGAGGAUGCACAUAGUGCAUGGUAGCAGAGCGUAGUG
rnacentral:rRNA from 10 species